rnacentral:rRNA from 1 species
CGCCUAACACAUGCAAGUCGCACGAGAAAGGGCUUCGGCCCCGGUAAAGUGGCGCACGGGUGAGUAACACGUGGGUAAUCUGCCCUCGAGCUGGGGAUAACAUUCCGAAAGGAGUGCUAAUACCGAAUAAGACCACGACCUCGAAAGAGGAUGCGGUCAAAGCUGGCCUCUAUACAUAAGCUAGCACUUGAGGAUGAGCCCGCGGCGCAUCAGCUAGUUGGUGAGGUAAUGGCUCACCAAGGCUAAGACGCGUAGCUGGUCUGAGAGGAUGAUCAGCCACACUGGAACUGAGACACGGUCCAGACUCCUACGGGAGGCAGCAGUGGGGAAUCUUGCGCAAUGGGCGAAAGCCUGACGCAGCGACGCCGCGUGAGUGAUGAAGGCCGUUUCCGGGUUGUAAAGCUCUGUGGGGGGAGAAGAAUUAGUGCAGCCUAAUACGUUGCAUGAUGACGGUAUCCCCUUAGCAAGCACCGGCUAACUCUGUGCCAGCCGCAGC